rnacentral:misc_RNA from 1 species
GACGGUACCUGAAGAAAAAGCAUCGGCUAACUCCGUGCCAGCAGCCGCGGUAAUACGGAGGAUGCAAGCGUUAUCCGGAAUCAUUGGGCGUAAAGGGUCCGCAGGUGGCGAAUAAAGUCUGCUGUUAAAGACCGGGGCUAAACUCCGGAAAGGCAGUGGAAACUGAUUAGCUAGAGUACGGUAGGGGUAGAGGGAAUUCCCAGUGUAGCGGUGAAAUGCGUAGAUAUUGGGAAGAACACCGGUGGCGAAAGCGCUCUACUAGGCCGAAACUGACACUGAGGGACGAAAGCUAGGGUAGCGAAAGGGAUUAGAUACCCCUGUAGUCUUAGCUGUAAACGAUGGAUACUAGGCGUAGCUUGUAUCGACCCGAGCUGUGCCGAAGCUAACGCGAUAAGUAUCCCGCCUGGGGAGUACGCACGCAAGUGUGAAACUCAAAGGAAUUGACGGGGGCCCGCACAAGCGGUGGAGUAUGUGGUUUAAUUCGAUGCAACGCGAAGAACCUUACCAGGGCUUGACAUGUCGCGAAUCUGGCGGAAACGUUAGAGUGCCUUAGGGAACGCGAACACAGGUGGUGCAUGGCUGUCGUCAGCUCGUGUCGUGAGAUGUUGGGUUAAGUCCCGCAACGAGCGCAACCCUCGUCCUUAGUUGCCAAUAUUAAGUUAGGCACUCUAGGGAGACUGCCGGGGACAACUCGGAGGAAGGUGGGGAUGACGUCAAGUCAGCAUGCCCCUUACGUCCUGGGCGACACACGUACUACAAUGGUUGGGACAAAGGGCAGCAAGCUCGCGAGAGUAAGCGAAUCUCAUCAAACCCAGCCACAGUUCAGAUUGCAGGCUGCAACUCGCCUGCAUGGAGUAGGAAUCGCUAGUAAUCGCAGGUCAGCAUACUGCGGUGAAUUCGUUCCCGGGCCUUGUACACACCGCCCGUCACACCAUGGAAGCUGGCUACGCCCGAAGUCGUUACCCUGACCCGGUUUUGGGAGGGGGAUGCCGAAGGUAGAGCUAGUGACUGGGGUGAAGUCGUAACAAGGUAGCCGUACCGGAAGGUGUGGCUGGAUCACCUCCUUUACAGGGAGACCUAGUCUAAUUACCAAUAGAUAAAAAAGUUGGUAAUUAGCAAGAAUCCUUAGGUCGUGAAGGGAGCAAGAAAAAACUUUCAAACUGUAAUAGGCGAGGGUAAAUGGGCUAUUAGCUCAGGUGGUUAGAGCGCACCCCUGAUAAGGGUGAGGUCCCUGGUUCAAGUCCAGGAUGGCCCACCUGAAAGACACAGGCAGGAUGCCUGUCCCACAAAAAAAGGAAAAAAUUUUAGCAUUGUCUCUUGUAAUCAAGAGCAAGAGACAAUGCUGGAAUAGAUUCC